rnacentral:rRNA from 1 species
ACAUGCAAGUCGAACGCUUUGUCUUUAAUUGAUAUGAAGAGCUUGCUCUGAUUUGAUUUUAUCUGACAAAGAGUGGCGAACGGGUGAGUAACACGUGGGUAACCUACCUCUUAGCAGGGGAUAACAUUUGGAAACAAGUGCUAAUACCGUAUAAUACUAACAACCGCAUGGUUGUUAAUUGAAAGAUGGUUCUGCUAUCACUAAGAGAUGGACCCGCGGUGCAUUAGCUAGUUGGUAAGGUAAUGGCUUACCAAGGCGAUGAUGCGUAGCCGAGUUGAGAGACUGAUCGGCCACAAUGGGACUGAGACACGGCCCAUACUCCUACGGGAGGCAGCAGUAGGGAAUCUUCCACAAUGGGCGCAAGCCUGAUGGAGCAACGCCGCGUGUGUGAUGAAGGGUUUCGGCUCGUAAAACACUGUUAUAAGAGAAGAACGACAUUGAGAGUAACUGUUCAGUGUGUGACGGUAUCUUAUCAGAAAGGAACGGCUAAAUACGUGCCAGCAGCCGCGGUAAUACGUAUGUUCCAAGCGUUAUCCGGAUUUAUUGGGCGUAAAGCGAGCGCAGACGGUUAUUUAAGUCUGAAGUGAAAGCCCUCAGCUCAACUGAGGAAGGGCUUUGGAAACUGGAUAACUUGAGUGCAGAUAGAGGAAAGUGGAACUCCAUGUGUAGCGGUGAAAUGCGUAGAUAUAUGGAAGAACACCGGUGGCGAA